GAUGAAGAACGCAGCGAAAUGCGAUACGUAAUGUGAAUUGCAGAAUUCAGUGAAUCAUCGAAUCUUUGAACGCAUAUUGCGCUCUCUGGUAUUCCGGAGAGCAUGCUUGUUUGAGUAUCAGUAAACACCUCAACUUCCAUAUCUUUUUUGAAAUGGGAGUUGGACUUGAGUGAUCCCAACGCUUUUCCUCACCGAAAAGUGGCGGGUUACUUGAAAUGCAGGUGCAGCUGGACUUUUCUCUGAGCUAUAAGCAUAUCUAUUUAGUCUGCCUAAAAAACAGACUAUUACCUUUGCUGCAGCUAACAUAAAGGAGAUUAGUUCUUGUGCUGACUGAUGCAGGAUUCACAAAGACAGGCUUCCGCCGACUUUGUAAACUCGAUCUCAAAUCAAGUAAGACUACCCGCUGAACUUAAGCAUAUCAAUAAGCGGAGGA
rnacentral:misc_RNA from 1 species